rnacentral:rRNA from 1 species
ACGGGUGAGUWACGCGUGGGAAUCUACCUUUUGCUACGGAAUAACGCAGGGAAACUUGUGCUAAUACCGUAUGUGUCCUUCGGGAGAAAGAUUUAUCGGCAAGAGAUGAGCCCGCGUUGGAUUAGCUAGUUGGUGGGGUAAAGGCCUACCAAGGCGACGAUCCAUAGCUGGUCUGAGAGGAUGAUCAGCCACAUUGGGACUGAGACACGGYCCAAACUYCUACGGGAGGCAGCAGUGGGGAAUAUUGGACAAUGGGCGCAAGCCUGAUCCAGCCAUGCCGCGUGAGUGAUGAAGGCCCUAGGGUUGUAAAGCUCUUUCACCGGAGAAGAUAAUGACGGUAUCCGGAGAAGAAGCCCCGGCUAACUUCGUGCCAGCAGCCGCGGUAAUACGAAGGGGGCUAGCGUUGUUCGGAAUUACUGGGCGUAAAGCGCACGUAGGCGGAUCGAUCAGUCA